rnacentral:rRNA from 1 species
GCAUACGGCCAUACUACCCUGAAAAUGCCCGAUCUCGUCUGAUCUCGGAAGCCAAGCAGGGUCAGGCCUGGUCGGUACUUGGAUGGGAGACCGCCUGGGAAUACCAGGUGCCGUAAGCU